rnacentral:rRNA from 1 species
AGUGAACGCUGGCGGCAGGCCUAACACAUGCAAGUCGAACGGCAGCACAAGAGAGCUUGCUCUCUGGGUGGCGAGUGGCGGACGGGUGAGGAAUGCAUCGGAAUCUGCCCAUUUGUGGGGGAUAACCUCGGGAAACCGGGACUAAUACCGCAUACGACCUACGGGUGAAAGCAGGGGAUCUUCGGACCUUGCGCAGAUGGAUGAGCCGAUGCCGGAUUAGCUAGUUGGAGGGGUAAAGGCCCACCAAGGCGACGAUCCGUAGCUGGUCUGAGAGGAUGAUCAGCCACACUGGGACUGAGACACGGCCCAGACUUCUACGGGAGGCAGCAGUGGGGAAUAUUGGACAAUGGGCGCAAGCCUGAUCCAGCCAUGCCGCGUGUGUGAAGAAGGCCUUCGGGUUGUAAAGCACUUUUGUUGGGAAAGAAAAGCAGCCGGUUAAUACCCGGUUGUCAUGACGGUACCCAAAGAAUAAGCACCGGCUAACUUCGUG